GGGGCUGUAGCUCAGUUGGCUAGAGCACCUGCUUUGCAAGCAGGAAGUCACGGGUUCGAGUCCCGUCAGCUCCACCA
rnacentral:tRNA from 1 species